AUUGAACGCUGGCGGCAUGCUUUACACAUGCAAGUCGAACGGUAACAGGGUGCUUGCACCGCUGACGAGUGGCGAACGGGUGAGUAAUGCGUCGGAACGUGCCGAGUAGUGGGGGAUAACGCAGCGAAAGCUGUGCUAAUACCGCAUACGAUCUGCGGAUGAAAGCGGGGGACCUUCGGGCCUCGCGCGAUUGGAGCGGCCGAUGUCAGAUUAGGUAGUUGGUGGGGUAAAGGCUCACCAAGCCAACGAUCUGUAGCUGGUCUGAGAGGACGACCAGCCACACUGGGACUGAGACACGGCCCAGACUCCUACGGGAGGCAGCAGUGGGGAAUUUUGGACAAUGGGCGCAAGCCUGAUCCAGCAAUGCCGCGUGCAGGAAGAAGGCCUUCGGGUUGUAAACCGCUUUUGUCAGGGAAGAAAUCUUCUGGGCUAAUACCCUGGGAGGAUGACGGUACCUGAAGAAUAAGCACCGGCUAACUACGUGCCAGCCGCCGCCGUAACAC
rnacentral:rRNA from 1 species